rnacentral:rRNA from 1 species
UAUCUCUGUAGAGUCUGCAUAUCAAUAAGCGGAGGAAAAGAAACUAACUAGGAUUCCCUCAGUAACGGCGAGUGAAGCGGGAAGAGCUCAAAUUUGAAAUCUUCAAGGUUUUACCUUGACGAAUUGUAGUUUAAAGAAGUGUUUUCUGUUGGAUGUUUUGGUAAAAGUUCUUUGGAAUAGGACAUCAUAGAGGGUGAGAAUCCCGUAUUUGACCAUUACUUUCCAGCUUUGUGAUACACUUUCAAAGAGUCGGAUUGUUUGGGAAUGCAGUCCAAAAUGGGUGGUAAAUUUCAUCUAAAGCUAAAUACUGGCGAGAGACCGAUAGCGAACAAGUACCGUGAGGGAAAGAUGAAAAGAACUUUGAAAAGAGAGUUAAACAGUACGUGAAAUUGUCAAAAGGGAAGCGUUUGACACCAGUGUUGUUUUCUCGAAAAUCAAUUAAAAAAGGCAGGAUUUUGUGUUGUAUUGACUUUAUCAGCUUUCUGCACUCUUUUCUUGUCUUUUUUAAUGCACUUUUCGUUUAACAAGUCAACAUCAAUUUCUUUUGUUGUAAAAGGGUCAUUGGAAGGUGGCUUUCUUUUCGGAGAAAGUGUUUAUAGCCUUUGGCCUCUGCAAUCGGAGAGAUUGAGGUCUGCAGCGUAGAUCCUUCGGGGUUAGAUACAUUUGUGCUAAGUUAUAGCCUUUCAUAGACAACUUGUUGACUAUGAUCAGUCAUGUAGCUUACUCGCUUAUGCUAUUUUACCUACGCUUAGGAUGUUGACGAUCAGCUGAGCGCG